AUUGAACGCUGGCGGCAUGCCUUACACAUGCAAGUCGAACGGCAGCACGGGAGCAAUCCUGGUGGCGAGUGGCGAACGGGUGAGUAAUAUAUCGGAACGUGCCCGGUCGUGGGGGAUAACGUAGUGAAAGCUACGCUAAUACCGCAUACGAUCUACGGAUGAAAGCGGGGGAUCGCAAGACCUCGCGCGAUUGGAGCGGCCGAUAUCAGAUUAGGUAGUUGGUGAGGUAAAGGCUCACCAAGCCGACGAUCUGUAGCUGGUCUGAGAGGACGACCAGCCACACUGGGACUGAGACACGGCCCAGACUCCUACGGGAGGCAGCAGUGGGGAAUUUUGGACAAUGGGCGUAAGCCUGAUCCAGCAAUGCCGCGUGCAGGAUGAAGC
rnacentral:rRNA from 1 species